UACGUAGGGGGCAAGCGUUGUCCGGAAUCAUUGGGCGUAAAGCGCGUGUAGGCGGUCCGGUAAGUCCGCUGUGAAAGUCGGGGGCUCAACCCUCGGAUGCCGGUGGAUACUGUCGGGCUUGAGUACGGAAGAGGCGAGUGGAAUUCCUGGUGUAGCGGUGAAAUGCGCAGAUAUCAGGAGGAACACCAAUUGCGAAGGCGGCUCGCUGGGACGUUACUGACGCUGAGACGCGAAAGCGUGGGGAGCAAACAGG
rnacentral:rRNA from 1 species